rnacentral:misc_RNA from 1 species
CGAGGGGAUUUAUCCCCGUUGGGUUGCGCAGCAACCCUGAAUCUUUUGGGGUCUGCUGCGCAGCCCAGCGGGGAUAAAUCCCCUCG